rnacentral:lncRNA from 1 species
GCCCGGCGCCCGCGGGGGCCGGGGAAGAGGGGCGAGGGGGCGUGUGCCCCAGACGAUCCCGGGCGCGCCCGUGUCAAGGCGCGUCCGGCGGGGUCCAAGGGAGGUGAUGCCGGUGAGCAGGGCUCGGACGUGGGUGUAAAUCCCCGCGCUUGGAGUCCGUGGUCACAGCGUCUGGGCGAGCCUCCUGCGCCCGGGCCGGCCUGCGCUGAUUCGGUCGGAGGUCUCUCAGACCUCACCGGCGCGGCGCUCUCUUUGGCUGGCAGAGAACUACGCGUGGUUCUUAAUCCUGUUUAUACAUACAAGCAACUGAAUAGCUUCAGAAAGAACUCCGUUGCCCGGCCCCGUUCCAGACCAGUGGAACCCCAAUCUACCCCGGGCCUGGACAUGGUGCAUUAGAAAAAAGACCCUCCCUAAGUAUUUCUGAUGCACAGGGAGGGGGUCAGAACUUAUCGAAGUAACCAGCUUGAUGGAAUAGAUAGUUGUGAAACCACCCAUCUUUAGAGACGAAAUAGUAAAAAUAGCUAACACGUAUUGAUUGUCAUUUUACAAUUGGGGAAAUUGAGGCUUAGGAGGUAAGUAAGAAUUGGUCAGUGACGAUCUCUGACUAGUACUCGGGGAGGCUGACUCCAGAACCCAUACUUUCAGCCAUGCUGUCUUGGAAAUAGGUCUUUACGUAAGGGCCACAUGUUUGCGUGAAUAGCAAUAGUUAUAUGUUUGCCUGCAGGCUAGCGAGUCUGUAUACAGUAUUUACCUAUGUAUUUAUGUAUUUUCAUCUGGAAAGUUGUGCUUGUACUAAAGCGGGGAGAAUCACUUGGUGAAUUUGUUAAGGUAUGUAGGCUACUAACGUUUUCAGGAAGUUUAUAGUGAAGAGAAGAGAGGGGACCCCAGUAAUUUGAAAAGAACACAUUCCAUGGGAGUUUUUUGUUUUGUUUUUAGACGUAAACAUGUGCAAAGUGAAGGGAAGAGUCGAGAAGAUUCAGGUAUUUUCCAAGGAUUUGCAUACGCAGCCGCAGAAGUCCUUUCGGUUGCUGGCACGAUACAAUCUUGUGGUCAUAGGCUGGGUGUAGCCCAAAGUGGGGGGCAGUCUACAGAGGAGCAGAAGCUCUGCCGUGAACAUUUGGGAGCAAAAUAACUAUUACUCUGGUGUAGAGUACAGAAGUUCUGCUUCUACAUUCCUCUUCUCCCUUUGCUUUAUUUCAUUUGUCUCCUGGUCAGAUGAACUCUUACAGGGACUAUUUAGAUGUGAGGGUAACCCAUCUGUUCUGAACAUGUGUUUAUUGAUAUAUUCUCUAAAGAUAUUCCAAAUAAAACUCCCAGGAAACAGGUCUUUCCCUGAAAACAAAGGGCUCCUAUUACCGUGUUUUUGCAACCAAUACGUAUUAUUAGAUGAUACUGUGUCACAAAGAAAUGUCUUUGUAUUCCUACUAAUGGUUGCUGUCUAAUAGUGUUAGUUGUGUGGCAGACAUAGGCAUGUUACUUGGGAAAUUUAAGGAUUGGUUUUACGGUGCUUGCAGUUUGGGUGAGCAAAGUUUGUAGACCCACCAGGGCAAGCCUGACGUAAGCAUGAGUGUUGGCAGUCUGGCAUGGAAACAGCUCUCCAACCCCGUCUCCUUCCCUCCCUUGUCAUCCGCGUCCCUCUUGACCACCAAAGCCACAUUUCUCCGGCAUUGCCAAACCACCCGUAUUUCCUUUGCACAGCUCUGCCUAGGUUGCUCGUGGGCACCUCCUUCAGGAAAUUUUCCCUGAUUUCUCCUCAGAAAACAUUGAAAAAUCCCUUCCCUGUGUCACCUCUGUGUCCUGUGCAUGUUUGUCUCACUGCAUUUAUCACGACCUGUCAUAUUGUUUUUGUUGACACGUUGGAUACCCCUACUAACUGAGCUCAUCAAAAUUGGAAAUGGGGAUUAUUUAUCUGUGUGUGUCUGACACACAGUAGGUUCUUAAGUUCAUUGCGUCGGUCUGAACUGAAUUUGAGUUGCAUUAUUUGUGUUGAUAUUUGCCUGUGUCACCCGUCUUCGUUAACCGUCUUCACCUCCUCUGCUACUAGCUACUAGGCUGAAAACCCACAUCCUUGCACAGAGAACGCAGAAUACCACCAACACAUUCUUGUAAAAGGAGUAGGAGGGAGAGGGCAAAAUGGAAUCAGUUUUUCACUUGUGUCCCAAUUUUGUUCUUGACUGACCACUUGGGUGGCAUGAAUUUUCUUGGUUACUCAUGCACACUGGAAGAGAUACUUAAUAUUGUCACGUUCAACUUAUUUAGGAAGGAAGAAAUGGCGCUGCGUUACCGAUGGACAGACGUCUGUGUGCAGUGGCAGAAUACAGACUCUUCGUCACAUUUCAUUACCCCAUAAUAUUCAGGAGCAGAGUGGAGUGAUGACGAGUAAUUAUGAUUAUGAAUAAUUAUUUACAAAUCAAAUGGAGUUGAGCCCUUGGCGUGUAAACUGAAUGGAAGUCCCGCCCUGUCUAUUGUGAUGGCUCUUCAGUCUUCAGUGAUUAUUGCCUGAAAGUGCAGCACCACCAAGCCUCCCUGGAAUGGUACUUCUACUCAGUUCUUGGACUGAGGGAUGAAAUGGGAUUUUACCUCACUUGUUUUCAGGAAAUCUUUUCACUGCACCUUAUUCACGCUGUUCAGGGUUAGAAGAGAUGGCGUACUUUACCAUCUGGAGUUUCUCUGCCUCGUUGAUGAUGGAAGCGCAAACCUGCCGGUUUAUAGGAGAUGAUAGAUAACACCUUGUAACGUCUGAGUUGCAAAAAUAUCUGCCUCUAAGAACUCAGGAGGACCUACUUUGUGGGAGCAAAGAUAGUGAGUCAAAGCCGCAGGCUUGGAGAGGAGCGUUCGUUUGAGCCUCUUCACUCAGUUGGGAGAUUUCCUAGGCAACCAUUUAUGUGGUCGUUAAAGGAUGGGGAACUCAGAGGAGAAAAAUGGAAGAAACAGAAGAACUUUUAAUGAAACAGAAUAAAGCACUGAACAGCUUUGUCUGUUGCUUUGGGACACACAGGGGUCUUGUGUUUUAAUGUAGUCAGAUGGAUAUGGAGCACCUUGCCUUUUGUUACUUUUUUCAUUGCUUUUAUAAAGACAGGCAUUUUAAGUACGAGCAAGUUAAUGGCGCAGAAUACUGCUGACUGCGUGGUUCUCGUCUAAAUGCGUUUUCCAACCUUGAACCUGAGAAUGCCAGAGGCUCGAGUCUCUGGACGCUCAUCUGAGCAGUUAUCUGCUGGUGGCCUGGUUCCUGAGGUAACAAGUGGGUGUCCCGGGUGCGUGUGUGUGUGUGGUAACAACAGCAGUGGUGCCACGUGGCGCCCAGAGGUCGCCUCAGUCUGUCCUGGGAAUUCCUGGUCCCCGGUGCUUGCGAGAUGAGCUGUGAACUUGGGGCGUCCGGAGAAGUGCAGGCAUUUUGGAGUUCCACAGCAAACCUGGAUGUAAGCAUAAACACAGCUUUUAAAGUGAAAGCAGGGGCCCUGAGGAAGGAAUUACCCUCAUCUCAUUCCCGACCUGCUUACUGUGCCGGAAAACAAAGAAUUGGGAAAACAACGUAGUGUGGUUUUCAUUGUUAGUCCUGGAGGAUUCCAAAAUCUGUGUCUGCAAAUAAGAUGAGCUGGAGCGACGUGCUGUGCCACUUGCUGUUUCUACUUGCCUGUUCUCCUAAUCGAAGUGAACCCCUUGCUUCCAGGACAAGCCCAGCCCGUGCUCGGGGACCCUCGUGUGACUGUUCCGUGCCCAUCUCUCAGAAGACUCCAAGCUCAGCUCCUCUGCCUGGGAUGGCAUCUCUGCACAUGCCCUUCUCUCUCCCUCGUCUGUCUACCUGCCAACACCUGCUCCUCCCUAAGAUUCAUCUCAGAAUUCAGCCUAGAGUCCUCCAGAAAGCCGUGUCUGACAUUUCAGAGCCGCCACUCCCUCCUCACUCCUCACAGGUGCCGCCGCCUCUGGGGGACGUGCGCCUCUGCCACAGGGACCGUGUCUUUCUGCUCUUCACUGCCAGCACCUGACACAGUAUGUGACAUGGAGUACCUGUCCCUUAAGUGUCGUUGAUUGAAAGAACUGAACGUAUUACAGGGACUCAGUACACAUCCAUUGAUUUGUUGAGACGUAGAUGCUGUGAGUGCAGAGGAGGGUGACGUGCCGGAGCAGUCCAGGGAGGCUCCGCGGAGCAGGUGGGAAAUACUAAGCUGAACAUUCAAGGUUUCGCACGUUGAAAACGGGCAAAGAACAAAAAUACCCGAGGUGGAGGAGCUCAGUGUGUGCGACUGCUGGCAACUCCACCGCUCUGUCCACACGGCCCGGAGGCAGGGAGCCCUGGAGCCGGGGUGGAGGCGGCCUGCUAGUUGGAGCAGAGGGUUUAUUGAAAGGAGGUAGAGAGAAGGCCCUGAGGGUGGGUUGGAUUUAAGUGGUGGGAAGGCCUCAAAGGCACGUGGGUUCUUGCAGGCGGUGAGUGUCAUUAUUUUUGAAAGCUAGUGACUUGCUCAAAGUGGUGUUGAAAGUGGGAGCUGCCUUGUGGCCCUGCCUUCAUCUUCCAUCCCGGCUUUGAGGCUCCUCUGGUGACCCCAGAUGUGAAGCCCCCUCCUAUCAAAUGCCUCACCUUUAAGGGCUGGAUCUUUUGUAAAUAAAGGCUUUCCUUCUGGCGCUGCCCUUGACCUGGCUCUGAGCUGUUGGUCCUUUGGGCCCAUUCAGCUCUGUCCCAUCCCUCUCCCCUCGUGACUGGUAAUGACCCGGAAGGUGGCAGCACCCACGCAGCAGGUGGCCUCAGAGCUGAGUCACCGCCCUGGGAACUGUGCCCUGGUGAGGCCGGCUCAGGCAAACUGGGGAACUCUCCACCUCACCCCGGCUCUGUGAGGCCUCUCAGUGCAACAGCCAGAGCAAAGGAAAAUGGAUUCUUUUAUGCAUCGAGCUGAUGAGAAAGUGAAAUAAAGCUAAUUGAAGAACCUAAAGGAAGUUAUCCUAAUGGCAGUCUCUAGCUGGUGUCUUUGGCAAGCACAGAGUUUUUCCUCACAAUUAUAGUUAUGGCCAUGAUUGUUUUAUCUAAACACAUGAAAAUCAUCCCUUUACACUUAUCUUUAAAAAAUGGGACGAAGAAGAUUUUAAAAUGAUGGUUUACGAUUCUGUAUGACCUUAUGAAUUCAGAGAGCCUAAGAAAUAAAAUGAUGUGGAGAGAUAUCUAAGCUGUCAAUGUUCUAGGAAAUGUGCAAAUGAGGUUUAGGGUUUUUUUUUUAAGUGUUUUAUUAUUCAUAAAUACUCUGAGGGAGGUUGUUUUUAAAAAUUAUGAUGCUUUUAUUUCAUUCCCAGAGAAGAUAAAAAUGUAGUGUUGCUUCUGAAAGAGGGUUUUAGAAAAAAAGGUCUGGCUUGUUUACUACACCAAUGAAUAGAGAUGACCUCAGUCCGAAAAAACAAGUUAACCAUAAUAUCGCUCCUUUGCCUGGCAAAAUAAGCCUUUAUCACAUAGCAAAAGAAGUGCAAGUCUGACCACCUAGUCAUCAUUUCAGCUGAUCAGGAUUUUCCAAAAGACAAAACAAAAAGCUCUCUCCAUUUUCACAACUGAACAAUAGCUCUUAGGAAAUACUACCAGCUUGCUCAGUUCCUAUAAGGCUGUAAAAAAAGUCUGGUGACAAUUACUCACUCAGUCGCCUGAAUGCAAUGCUGUACGUGGUUAACUCUGCUGUCGCCACUGUGAGCUUUCGAAGUUGGAAAAAAGGGGUCAUGUCUGUUGCUUUUUGAGUAUGGAGUUUUUUGACUUAAAAAGAAAUUUAAUCUUUUUUGCUUUAUACAUCCUGUGCCCAGUAAGCUCUGUACAGCUGAAGGGUCCCUACAGAUGGAAGCCUGUUCUCUUGAGCAGAUUUUCCUGAGCUCUGGGUACGUGCACGUGCUCUCUGACCACCGUGGGGCCCAGAUGAGACGCGUUGAGCCAGUCCAUGGAACUCCACUGCUUAGCUGGCAGAUAUGCUGUGACCCGGAAGUUGAGUUUUCUCCUUUAUUUUCCUGUUUACUUUGCAUAUGCGUAAAAAAAUGAGCCACACAAAAAUAUAGACGGUCAAAAGGCUUCCUAAUUUUUCUAAGGCAGAGGAGUUGAGGCAGAUUCUGCUAGAAAGCAGCACCCAUAUCCUAAUUCCUACAGCCUCUGUGAUUUCAGAUCAGCAAAGGCGGAAUCGAAACACACUGGGAAGUUAGAGGUCAGUUGAUUCUAGGAUCCAUUCCAGUCAAAAGAAUCUGUAGACUCACUGGAUUUGGGAAUGGGGUUUGGGGAAAGAGGGUUUUUUUAAAAAGAGGGAAGCUUUGUUCCUUAUUUCUUGACCUGUGUUGGGUGGGAGAACGAACCUGCUUUGAAUAGAAGUUGCAAAAAAGCCAAUCCUGGUGACCAUACAAGAAGAUUAAUGAGGACUCGGCACCAAAUUAAAUAUGCCCAGCCUUUAAGAAAACUGCGUUAAUAGUGCCACUGUGACGGCGUUAACGAUGGGAGCCAUGGGAAGAUGCUUGGGGAGGCUCAGGCGCUGAUGAGUUAAAAAGGCAGAGACAUCCAGUAAGUGAGAUCCCGCCCGGGCACGGGUUUGUUUAUCCUGCCCUUCUGAAGUCAGAGCCAACAUUCUUAAUGGUUUUGAAUGAUUCAGAAUGUUUCUCUUUUGGCAGGGCCACUUUCCACACAUGGGCUUAUGACUAAAACCCCUUAGGUGAGGUCCAAAGCAGAAACUGACCUUACACUUAAUGUCGAAUUUUAGAAUCGUCUUAUUUUAGAGCAACAGGAAAACUGUCAAUACAGCGUGCUUGUUUCAGAGAUGAAGAGCUGGACCAGGGGGUUUGGUCCGCCAGAGGUCACCCAACGGGAGGGCGAGGCCAGUCUGGGCCGGGCCGCCUUCCUCCAACCACACGGGCCCUGGUCCCAGCCUCGGGAGGAGGCUCCCGCCUGUCCUUGGCCUCCCAGCUGGGAGAGGCCAAUGCCCUUUGAGGAAUGUUCAGAAAAUUGCUUAGGUCGGAAAGGAGAACUUCAUUUUUACAAAAUGAAACAAAUCGGUUGUUUAUUUGUCACGGGCAGCUUUUUCAAAAUCUUCUUUGUCAGUAUUUUGAAUUUAUUAGCUCCCAGGCAGAAGGAAGCAUAAUAACAUUUCUAUCCAUACGCCAAAGUAAGAGACUUGAUAUACCCUUCGCUCGCUCACUCUUCUUUUUCUUUUUUUUGGAUGAAAAUUAACUGUGCCACGCUAGUUCUUAAUAAAACAAACUUUGAAUUCUUCCCACAGGAGACAGAAUUGAGCAAUGUUCUAAGAACAUGUUGUACUCUUUUGGGCACUGAGUAAAUGUAAUACUGAGAAGAUGCUCUAGAAGCUUGAAAGUGCCUCUUGGUAAUAGAGUCACCGGGAGAAGUGGCAGAAAGAACAGGGUAGAGAAGCUGGUCCUCGUGGAGGAGGGCUCAGCAGGAGCUGCUGGCUCAGCCUCUUCCUGCCUGGCUGAGGACCUGAGGGCAUCACGGAGCCCACAGGAAAGGACUCAUUUCCCCGUAAGCCAGGGCGUGAACCACUGACCCCUGCUGGGCGCACCCGACGCGGUCAGAACCCGGUCCUCCUCUGGACUCGGCGCUGAACUGCACGUCCACCAGCGCCAGAGACAGCAUCUCCAGGAAAGGACACGCACCACAGGUCGCUGCACCCACUGCGCUGGCCCUCUCCCAGCGGCUCCCAAACCCCGGGGACGACCGUGUGGCCUUCAUUUGUUUAAGGACGACAACCUGAAUUAAGAGAUGAAGCGAUUUAUCCCAGGAGGAAAAGCCAUUCGAAGAAAGGGGAUUUGCACCAGAUUCCUGCCGAGACCCGCCCCCCAAGCCCUCCCCCCCCCCCGUAGCAAAUUGUGCCCUCUUCCUUCCGGGUGGCACUUAAGCAACUGUCACUUAUCGCGUCCUUAUAUUAAUUACACAAUUAUUACAAACGUGUUCCCCCGAAAGAAUGUAAACUAAAUAUGUCAUGAGUAUCAAGUUAAGCAUCUCCAACAGGAUCUUUUCAUAGGAAGAACGGUUCCUUAGUCCUAGUAACAACAAGUGCUAUUUUUUUCCCUCUUCCCAGCCCGUGGAAACAAUGCCGAGGAAAAAUUAUCUUGUGUUUAGCUUCCAGCGUGAUAUUGGAGAUAAGUAACAGUGUCUUUUUUUCCCCCCAUCACCCAUGCUGUCUUCAUUUUUAAGGUAGACAGUUUAUUUUAAGAAGAGCAGGAAGGAGAAGCUUUUGGCUGUCUCCAGGUGCCACGUGGCCCUGAUGGCCUUUCCUGGGGUCAUCUUCCAGGCAAGUGGAGCCGUCCUCACCUGCUACACGGAAGCCAGCGCAGCGUUGGCUCUGCCUGAGCGAACCAGGGAAGUGUUGGGGGGAGGAGAGCGGGGGUGUGGAUUUGAAUCUCCCUUGGAUUAUUUUAAAUUCUUGUGUCGUUAUAUUUGUGUGUACUUGAAAAAUUAUAAUCUAGCAAAUGUUUCAGAUUUAAGCCGUGGGUAAAAUUUUCCUAACAGAAAAUGACACAGUCAGCUGGAAAAAUGGAAUAGAAAGCAGCACAUGCUGUUUCCUUCUUAGGGUUUUUCUAUUCGUGUUGGAGCAGAAAGCCCCUCGCCCGCCCUCACUGCCCCUUUCUUGGAGUGGGUGCCAUCUUGAUAGCCUUCCUGUGUGAGGUGAGGGGACUGGGGGAGCGGGUUUGAGAACCCCCGCCUCCCCUGCUGUCCGCUGUCAGUCAUGCUAACUUCCCUGAGCGCUGGCAGUCAUAUGAGAAUGUCUUAGCUGCGUGUGUGAAAGUCACGCCUGUGUUUCACCUCCAGUGUGAGUGCAAUUCAGUGUCCCGGGACAUGGUCAUCCCCUUUGGUCCUCUAAAGGAGUUGGGGUCUGCGAAUAGGACUCGUGCUGAGCUGGAGGGCAUUUUAUGGGCAUCAUUUCAUCUGUUCUCUCCGUCUCCAGCCAGAACUGCAUUCCAGACACAUGGGUACAUGUAUACCCUAUUCGAAUAUUCAGGCGUCCUGAGAAGGGGCUCCCAGCCUGUCUGGGAAACCCAGAAGGAGCUGACCACCCCCAUUUCUUCCUGCCCAUACCUCUGGAGAUGGAGACUAGGAGGCCCUUGGGAAAGCUUAUCCUGAGCCCAAAGCUUGGUGCCUCACCUAUGGGACCAUGGCCCCUGAAGUUUCCCCAUCCUAAUACCUAUCCCAUUGUCGUAAUAACUGCCAUUUAUUUGUCUGCACCCCCUGCCGGCUUGCAGACUCCAUGAGGACUGGUGCCCGUGUGGGUCCACGUUGCGUCUCCAGCACAGUGCUUCCCACAUGCUAGAUAUUCAACAUCUGUUUCUUCUGCGCUUCAUAAAUUUUGUUUUUUGUCGUCUCCUGCCAUCCCUGAUCUCAGUUAACCUUCCCAUUGUGUGUGUGUGUGUGUGUGCACGUGUGCAGGAAGAAAUGCCUUCAUGAGCUCACUCGCUCGCUCUUACCUUCUGCAUCCUGUGUUAUCGCACAGCCAUCGCAGUCUCACUUCCCAAAGGUCUUGUUUGCCGAAUGCGGUGGCUUUCCCCAUUCCCAUUGAGCUUCACCUCCUGCUACAGUUCACAUGAUGUUACCUCCCCUCCCUGACACCCUCCCCUUUUUCCACCUGCCCAGACCACCCCUGUGGAGCCCGGCUCAGGCCCCUUUCCUCUGCAGACACCCCCCCCCCCCGCCCCCUAGUCAGCCUGCCCCAAGCUCAUCGAAUCCUGAAUGACUGUUGUCCCUCUCUGUCAGCAUGGCACACUUAAGCCUUACUCGUCCCUAUAUACUCAACUUCAUUCCACAUUAGGUUCCAAGGUCACGUGCAAGUGUAUCCAUGUCAUCUGUUUAGGCACUUUUCCAGUUCAGCGCGGGGCUCUUAGGAGGCAAUCAGUGAACGCCUAGCGAUGGAUUCUAACAGAUCUGUCUUUACCCGUCGUGUUGAGAAGUGACUUGUGGUUCUGCAGCAUUGUUGUUGGUUAAUCCCUCCCUGACAGACGUGACCGUCCCUAUGUGCACCCCCCCAUGUGCCUACACUGGACUCUUCUAGGAGCCUCAUCUGCCUCAUGUCCUCUGAGCCUCAUACGGCACCUGGGACAUGGUAAACUCAGUGAAUCAGUGGUUCUGAGACCAGAUAGAUGGAAAUGCUGGAACAUCCUCAUCCCUGUUGCGGAUCGUAUCUGUCCUUUCACAGACUCGCGACUCCUUGUUUUGACGUCCCAUGACCUACCCUUUUUCCGUCAGAGAGCCUCAGACCCAGUCUCUGUGUACUGAUGCUCGAUGGUAUUUUAGUCUUUCACACCAAUUUUAACAUAUUGAUUGUAUAUACCUUCUGGAAAAUUUAUCCAAAAUGUUAAAUGUGCUGUCCCCUCACAGGGGAAUGUGGUGAUGGUUCUUUUUCAGGGGGGAGGUUAAUAUUUAUUGAAAAAUCUCUGGACCAUGGAUUUUACUUGAGUUAGUUAUAUUUUCACAAGUCUGAGAAUUAACAUUAUCAUUUCCACUUUACAGUUGAAAAAAAUAAAGCUCAAAAAGGGUUAAAUAGCUUGUCCCAGGCUAACAAGUGACAGAGGGAAAAUUUGAAACCAGGUCUUUCUGAUCCCAAAGCUUAUGCUGCUUGUCUCUCUGUUCCCCGCUUAAAUGUGCCAUUAAAUGGGAGUUCCCUUAAUGGCGCUCAACGUUGAAUAGGCAGUGUCUAAGCACGUUAACUCAGAUAAGCUGGUGCUCAUGUGGAAAGGCACAGACAAGGACAAGAUGUGUAUUGGUACUUUUGGUUCUAAGCAGAGAUUCAGAGAUCAGCUUCUAAGAGCCUCAAGCUUCAAGAGGAUGACGGUUGAGCACCUAGGAAGAUCCUUUGGGGGGCCCUCUGUGACACAGGGCUGCCCUGUUGAAGGUGUAAGUUGACCCUUGACUCCUCCUGAGAAAACACAGGAAUCCCGUUAGGGAAGCAUCCUCGUGGGCUGGGCUGCUCCACGCUCUCCCCUCUGGUGAUGGGUUUGGUACAAGCCUCAGCCCUGUGUUUAGAUUAGAGCCACCAAGAGCUACCGUGGGAGGCACAGAUGCCAGUGCUCAUAAGGGGAGGCACGGAUGUUAGUGGGAAGCUGAAAAUGCAGCUGUCAAACUCAUAUCCUCAUAGUUAAGAAACCUUAUCACUAACUCAUAUACGGUGUUCUUGACCGAACCUUUCUGUGCUCUGGUUUCCCCAUCUACCAAGAAUGCACAUGCACCUAGAUCUUAGGAGGCUGCAGGUGCAGUGGUCACAAGGUGCUCCUGAGUUCUUUAGAGGAGUGACAGAGAGGAUGGAAGAGGCACGCUACAGAAUUAGGCUUUAUCAUACGCUUUUACAGGAAAAAGUUAAUUGUAGGAAGACUUUGCAGCAGCUUAAAUGAACUCUUGCAAAUACUGCAGAACUCCCGGAACACAGCCGACGGGCGUUCCUUGCAGCUGACACCCAUCUCAGUCACCGUUGACAAGGGGAAGAGCUCCUCACUGACUCUGGGUCCUGUCGUCAUUUUUAUGAUCAGACAAUUUCGGAAACAUGCUAUUAUUUUAAAUUAGUAUUUAAAUAUUCCAAAGCCGUGUGAUUUAAUAGCUCCAUGUCAGUUUCAAUUUUAUGUUUACCCUGAUAGAUCCUCCUUCCUUUUCCUCUCAGCUUGAAUAUUUUAGAUUUAUCUUUCUGUCAUAAGACAGUGUUGAAUAUAACAAUGGCUUUUCUCAGCCAUUUCUCUUCCUGGUCAAGAUCUUCUUGAAUUUUAAUCCCAACUUUCAAGAAUCUUCCGAACAUAUUACGUCCGUGUUUUGAUAGCGUCUUGAAGUGUGUGAGCAUAGUCGCUAAAGAACAUGUCCUCCAACGCUCAGCUUAAAGAUCACACCUGUGAACCACAGUGCGUUGUCUUCCCCAGUCUGUCUGAUGCACGUGUCUAGACCAUAUCACCCCAUCCACUGGCCUCGGCCGUGUUUCUGUUCCUCCAUGGGGUUGUAAUUGUUCACUUGGAAAUUGCAAUAGAUAGUAAUCUGACAGGACAGACUUUUCUUCCUCACACUGCUGAGUCACGCCGCCCCUUGCUGGGUGAAAUGUGAGCUUUUGGGACUUGAGCCCCUUCUAAGGAAGCCUCCUUGGGGCUGUUAUGAAGGCACUCCCAGUGGCUGUGGCAGGUCACGUGCACGGAAGACUGAAGUACUCCUUGAACGAUGAGUUUUCAAAAACGAAGACCUCUACAACACGGGCCUCCUUUCCUAUAAUGUGGCAAAAGGUGCACUCCAGCUUUAAACUUAGACCACGCAGGAGAGAACAUCAUGGGGUUUCUGUUCUGUAUUUCCUCCGCUUGACCGCAGAGCAGUGAGAGAAGGUUGCACUUUCAGACAGUUGCUGCCCUCUGCUGGCCUCUGCAGUCUGUGCUGCUGCAGCCUGAGGUUGCGAAACCAAUUUUGAAAAUAGAAACCUCUCCCUGUCUUCUGUGCGGGCUGCUUUCAUGUCUUUCUUCCGUGACUGGAGCUAUAGGUCUAUACCAUGUUUUAUUUCAUAAGACCUCUUGCUGAGCAAACCUUGAUGAUCUGCGAAACGCACAGCCUCGUGUCGGUGGACGCACCAGUGAGGAGCGUGUCCACCGCUCACUGUGCAGGAACUUUCCCAACCUAUGCAGCAGGAAGGAGAAGGUGCUCCUUAUUUCUUGUUUUUAAAAAUUCAUCUCUUUAUGACAUUGGCGGAGGAACAAGAGAAAACAACUGACUUUUACUUCCUCUGUUGCUCUGGGAGAUUUCCUAAGGGCUCAUACUGUCGUUUAAAUUCCAGGUGCUGAUCUUCUGAGCAGUUGCCUCCUGAGGAUUUCUGUGCCUGGAAAAUAUCUGUCAACAGAUUGCUCUCACACUCCUGUGUAAGUAGAGGCUUGUGCUCGUAAAAUCAACCUCAAGCGAGUUUCGUUUUAUUUUGUUCCUGGAUGAUUCCCCAUAAAUUUUUUUAAAUGGUCAUCAGGGUUCGAUCUCUAUUCCUUUUCUCUUAAACCCUCAACUCCUAACUUAGCAUUGGGAAAAGUCUAUAACGUGAACUCCUGCUUAAAAGGAAGGGUACAGAUCCCGUAUUCAGGUCUUAGAAUGGGAAGAGGAGAAGAAGGUAAAAAAUAUUAAAGAUACUCAUUUCAGUUAAUUCAGUUGGAGAUGCCAUUUGUAGAUCUGAGGGCGUCUUCCGAUUUUAGUAUUUGUCGGAUUCCUCUGCAGUCAGCUGGGCUGACAUGUAUCCAUGUACGAUGAAAUGGACGGAAGCAGGAUCUGUGAGCUUUUUCCAUUUACAAGCUGUGGCAGAUCUCUUAGCCACCUCUCUGCUUAUAAUGUGCUAAGGGAAAAAUGAUUUAUUAUUUCUGUCAUCGUGGCUAUCAUUUAUUGAGUAUUUACAUUGUGCCAUUGCUAGUUCGAAUUGCUGUACCUGAUUUAUUUAAUUGUCACAGCAACCUUAGGUGUGGUGGGUACUAUCAUCAUCCUUAUUUUAAACAGCUGAGGAGACUGAGACACUGAGAGUUAACGUAAGUUACCCAGGGUUGUGCAGGGAGCGAAUUGCAGAGCUUGACAUUCUGCCUCCAGAAGUCUACAUGUGACCAUGUCGCCAUACUGCCUCUUAGAAACGGGGAACUUAGGAGGAUAAACUGCUGGGCUGUAUUUUAGAGACAUUAUUUUAGCACUGUCAUAAUCAUGUGAAUGAGUGUUGGGCUAGUCACUAUGCUCUUUUGACGUGAGCCUCCUUUAGAUUAGCGGGAAGCCAGGCUUUAGAGAUGUGGCUUGCUUAAGGGCACACUGCAAAUCACGUGUGUGGCUGAGCAUCCAGGUCUCCAACCGUUCAGUGCUAGCCAAAUCCUACUAAUUUCCAAGUUGUCGCCGUCCUCUUGGUGGGUUGUUGGGUGCUGCUUCUGCUGAUCAGAACCAAAGCUGGUUUUAAUGGUUUGCUCAUGUGCUUAUUGGUGAAACCCUGAAAUCGGAGCCAGUUUACAUUCAAAGUUCCAUCCGGCCACGUGGAGAAUAGCCAUUACAGUCUCUAUAAUGCGCUGAGCCAGCAGAGACUCACGGCUAAAAGCCUGGGCCUGGAUUCGGGCAAAUCCCGCUUUGCACCCUGGUCUUGCCCUCCACAAGCUUUGUGACCAAGGGCAAGUCAUGUCCCCGUUCUAAAUCUCUGUUCCCUCACCUGGGAAAUGGAGAUGACACCACCAACCUUGUCAGGUGAUUUUGAACGUUGAGAAAAUGCAUAUUAAAGCAUGCAGCAGUAUCUGGCGCAGAGUGUUCCAAAAAUGGAAGCUGUCCCUAUUUUUCAGAGUACCUUCCCGUCCACUUCUCAGUUCAUUUUGUACUUCACCCUGAAAAGGCGCUCCGGGGUGCUGAUCCAUCUAAUAAAAUAAAUGUUUGUGUAGUGCUUUAAAAAUUAUAGAAUGUUUCCAUAUACUGAAUUACGUAUAACCCUAACAACCACUGCAGUCUAGGAAUUUAUGUCUCCAUUCUCUAGAUCAGGAUAAUCAACCUCAGAAAAAUUAAAUGAUUGCCCAGGAUCACAUAGCUAGUAAAUAGCAUAGCCAGGACUUCAACUCAGAAGCGCGGCUCCGGGUCUUGCGCUCCUUGUUCAUCUGCUUCCUGCAGGAAAGCUUUCACUAAAGGCAUGUAAGUCGAGAGAGGACUUACAGCUAGGUGAUCCAGCUCCACAGCAGUAACAGUUGCAUCUCUAUUCUGGUCUACUUUCUCCAGUCAGGACUGUUGGAGCCUGAUGUCCGUAACAUUUUGAAACUACGUUCUUAAAGAAGUCUUGUAGUCAGAUACAGUCUCCUUGUGAAAUCCUGAAGCCCCAAGGGAAGUUAUCUUAAUCCAGUUUGCUCAUGCAAGAACAGACUGGCAUUUCACUUCAAUGAAAACAAUGUAUUUCCACUGUUCCGCUUUUGCCACACGAGAGUUACUGGUGUAGUUUAUGGAUUCACAUUUCAGGCUCCAACUUUCCUAUCAGAUUUGGAAGAAAAAAAUCCAAAGAAGGGCAACCUGCUCAAAAAGCAUCAUAUAAAGUACGACAGUGAAGACUGGAUUUUGAAAUGGAAACAUUCUCAUGGCUUGUGGGCUGAGAGACAAUUAGGAAGGAUGUUCCUGAAAGGUGAUGAUUUUAAUGCUGGGGAUGGAGAGUUUUGCAAUUUUAAGUGUGUUCUCUGUGUGAGAAAGAGUUGUUAAAAAAUAACAUUCCUUUCAAAUGAUGCAAUACCUAAAAAUUGUUGAUGAUUAAAAUAGAAAUACCCUGAGUUACAGAAAUUCAGCCCUACAGUAUCCUGGCCUAAAAAAUGCAGAACAGUCAGGUUGAUUGUUGGAGCUGGAGGAUAAGGAGGCAUGGAAACAUGGUAAUGUUCACUGAGUAAAAUCUUUCCUCGCGGUUGAAUGUCACGGAAAGACUCAGCAGAGCCAGCAGAUAGCAGCUGCUGCCAUCCUGUUUCCUUGUGCAUGUCCUGGAAGGAGAAUGAAUGAGCCCCUAUUAAUUUACCAACUGGUUUUUUUUUUCGUUUCCCUGCUAGCGAACAAUGAGAUUUUUUUCCCCUAUGUUAAUUUGGUAGCCAGUCUCUGCAUGCAGAUCUAUUUUCAGGAAACUGGCCUCUUGCUUUAGAAGAUUACGUGAAAACAGAAGCCCAAGCUCAACUAAGUAACUCGCUUUCCCCCCAAGGGGCUUAAAAUCCGAAGGGAAGUUUUGACUGAUCUCUGUGUUUAUUAUGCUUUAUCUGCUGAAAAUGGCCUGUCAAACUGGGCUCACCUGAAGAGACAUAGAUGCAAAAGGAUAUAUCCAUCUUUGUUCUUCUGCUGAAUUCUGUAGAAAGCGUACUCAAACGAUAAUACAGAAAACUUACCAUAUCUAUUUGUUUCUGCUAAGGGAGCAAAACAGUGUGGUUGUGUCUAUAGUAUGGAUACAUGUGUGUGUGGAUGUACCUAUAGGGGUGUGACAUAUAUUUGAUGUAUGAGAUAUGUAUGCUCUUAUCAGACAUAAGUAAAAGGAAGAAAUCUGUUUUUUAGGAAAAUUUUCCCCAUAACCGAAGUGUCAAAAUCAUUUGGAAAAAACUUCUAAGUGGCAGUAGGCAAAAGGUAUGACUAGUCAUUAGUAAAAAAUAAACGGACCUUUUUGUUCUGGAUUUGGGAUUUUUUAACUGAUGAGAAUAAUCUGGCUGCAUCUGACAAGUUCAGUUACUGAUAUUACGAAUUAGAAUAGCAUAUACAGAAGGAUGCCGUGGACCCUAAAUCAAUCACAAAGUUAGUGAAAUCGCUAUUUGAGAGUUCCAGUGAUUCUUCUAUCUUGGCAGUCUUUCAAGUUAAAAUGCUUGAAUUGACUAUCCAGUUGAAAUAUUUAAUUGCCAGUUGCUUCACAAAGUAUGUGCCUUUCUUUGCAGUCUAUGAGCUGUUGCAUCUUGGAUGAAGUGCUUGUGACACAUCUCUCUAGACCAUAGUGUUCUGUUCCCUUUUUUCAGAGAUGAAAAAACUAGUCUGGUAGUAGUAGGCGUGUGCAGUGGAUGCUUCUCCAUUAUGAAUGAUGAGUUUGUGUUGGGAUCUCCUAUGAAGAGAUAAGCGGUCAAGGCUAUAAGGAGUAAGAACGUUCAAGUGAAACACCCUGCCCCUCCUGGCUUGUUAGCAUCCUGCUGAGCCCAUUUGAAAUCAUCAGCCACAGGCACUUUGUAAUUAGAGGUUCUUCCCGUAAGCAUUAUAAAUGAGGAAAGUCAAAAGAGAAACUAAAGUUCAGUUAAUUGAUUUCAGCCAAGAGAACAGACUAAGUGAAUGGUACAGCCAGGAUUAGAACCUACUUUUCACCAGGUGACGCUAUCAUGAUAAAACCCAAAAAAGAUGGGAGAGUGUUUUAAGUUAAAAAAGACUAAAGAAUCUUAGUGAGUGAACCUGGAUGGAAUCUGGGUUUGAAAACAAACAAAAAUUAUAAAAGACUUUUUUGGAGAAAGUAGGAAAAGUUAAAUACGGACUGGAUAUUAGAUGAUACUAAGGGAAUUGCUCAUUUUCUUAGGAAUGAUAAAGAUAUUAUAACUGUAUGAAGAAUGGCCUCAUUUUUUGGGGGGUCACCUCAAUUUUUUAGACAUGCUCAAGAAGUUAGGAGCAGAGUGUUGGAAUGGUUGUCAAUUUACUUUCAAAUAAUUCAGCAAAAAAUACAUAUAUCUUACAUAGAGAUAACAUAGCUAAAGCAAAAAAUGGCAAAAUGAAUAAUUGUUGAAUGUAGGCGGUAUGAAUUUAGGAAUUCAUUUUUUUGUCAUUCAAAUUUAAUGUAAGUCUGAAAGUUUUCAUAACAGUUAUAAAAAAGAACGCACAUCUCUUUAGUUAAGUAGCCCUGGUUACAUCAAGUAUUUUCUUGGAUCCCUGGGACACUAAAGGGAAUGACAGUAGACUUCCUAAGAAAAUGAUAUCGAGAACCAUAGUGGGAGGAGAAAAGACCGUGGCCAAAAAUGAUUUGUUAAGGAGAGCUGAGAGUACAAAGCCUUACUUUUGGAGGUGGGAGAGGAGAAUCUUAAGUAAAGCUAACAAAAAUCCUUAACUCAUAGAUGCAUCUAAGGAAUUCCAUUCUGGAAAAAAAAAAUUAGAAUCUCAUUAGCGUCAAUGUAUUACUUACCUCUGAACUAUUUCCAAUGAGCUGUCCUCCUUGGGCCCUGAAGUCAUAGUACUCUUUAGAAUCAAACAAAAUUAUCUCCCAAGUGAAAGGACUAGGUGUGGGAAAGGGUUUCCCUCAGCUUCUCCCAGAGCACCUGCUUACUUUGUACCAUUUGUAUGUAUGUUGUGAGGUUCACACCACCUUCUAGUUAGCGUACGCCUGGGUCCUUUGACCCCAGGAUGAGCUCUGCCUCUUCACCUGAGUCAGGGUUUCCCGUGACUUCCCACUGGGAGUAAAUGGGUUCACAUGUGCCCUUCCCUCUAAAUGAUAAAACUGAACCUUUGUCUGGGAAGCUCAGGAAUUGAGUCCAGGCUUGUCCCCCAACACCAGAUUUGGUGACAUCAGUACAUAUAUGUAUGCGAUUUGCUAAAGCUCUAUUUAGACCACAAAGUAAAUAGCUCAUAACCAGGUUUCAACUUUUUCCUUUCUAG